rnacentral:misc_RNA from 1 species
UCUCCGUAGGUGAACCUGCGGAGGGAUCAUUACAAGUGACCCCGGUCCUACCACCGGGAUGUUCAUAACCCUUUGUUGUCCGACUCUGUUGCCUCCGGGGCGACCCUGCCUUCGGGCGGGGGCUCCGGGUGGACACUUCAAACUCUUGCGUAACUUUGCAGUCUGAGUAAACUUAAUUAAUAAAUUAAAACUUUUAACAACGGAUCUCUUGGUUCUG